rnacentral:rRNA from 1 species
GUCUACGGCCAUACCACCUGAAUGUGCCCAAUCUCAUCUGAUCUCAGAAGCUAAGCAGAGUGGGGGGGCCUGGUUAGUCCUUGGACAGUAGUCC